CAGGGAGACAACAAAAUGUUUAAUAUUAUUUUGUCACCUUAGGUCGAUCGGUAUCUCACGUUCUUAAUUUAUUAAGAAUUUCAUUUUCUAAGUUUUCUAGGGUCACACCCAUUAUUUUCCUGGGCCAUUAGCUCAGGUGGUUAGAGCGCACCCCUGAUAAGGGUGAGGUCCCUGGUUCAAGUCCAGGAUGGCCCAUAUCUCUAUGUUGGGGGUAUAGCUCAAGUUGGUAGAGCGCCUGCUUUGCAAGCAGGAUGUCAGCGGUUCGAGUCCGCUUACCUCCACUGAUUACCACCUCUUCCAUAAUUGGAUACAGGGAAUUUUUUGAGUUGUGAUCUUCUGAAGAAUCUAGCUUCCUAAUGCAAUAUUAAGAUGCUGGAUUCAUUGAAUUAUUUUUGUUUUCAGAGAACCUUGACAACUGCAUAGAUUAUUUUUAAAGACAAUAAGCAUCUUUAACGAUGCAGAUUUAUUAUUUGUGCAAAUGCAUUAAUAACAAUUCUAUUAAGCUGAUGCUUCAA
rnacentral:tRNA from 1 species